rnacentral:Y_RNA from 1 species
GACUGGUCCGAAGGUAGUGAGUUAUCUCACUUGAUUGUUCACAGUCAGUUACAGAUUGAACUCCUUGUUCUACUGCUUUUCCCAUUUCUCACACUGCACUUGACUAGUCUAAA